UUUCUUUUCUUUUUCCUUUUUCUUUUCUUUUCUCUUUUCUCCUUCCUCCCCGUGCACCCUUCCCCUUCUCUCCGUCCGCAGCCCAGUAACCGUCGACCUUCUCCUCUUCUUCUUCCGUUCGCAGCAGCCGUCGCCGCCCACGUGACCGCUGCUCAGUCCAGAUCUGCGUCGUAGCCGCAGCAACCGCCACCCCUAUUUCCUUCUUCCGUCGUGCGCCGCGACUUCCAUUUUCUUCCCGCCGCAGCCAGCCGCCGCGAUCCUUUCCCUUCCGUUUUCCUCCCGCCGUAGCCCAGCCGCAGCCAGCCGCCGAUCCUUUCUCUUCCGUUUUCUUCCCGCCGCAGCCCAGCUGCAGCCCGUGCGCCGAUCUGCCGUUUCCAUCUCCGUUUCGCGAAGCAACCUUGCAGCAGUCGUCCCGCGCGCCGAUCUGCCAUCUCCAUCGCCGGUUCUGUCUUCGUCGAAGCCCGAGCCGCCGUGUGAACCAGUAACCGCCACGUCCGCCGCUCACAAUCGCCGUCCAAGCCAGCCGCCGCCGAUCCCUUCUCUUCCGUUGUCUGCACUGCCGCGCGAAUCUCCGGCCGUCUGUAUACGGUCUCUCCGUCGCACUUCAUCUCUUCGCAAAGCUACUGCUCGAUUUCUUUCGCGAAGAUUUGGGUUCGUUCUUCAUAGACUUCAACGUGGUUAAGGAGCUUAACUAACUUGAAGGCAAAGGUAAUAAAGGCGGCAAACCGGCGAGGGGCAGGAAGGAAGCGUGAUGCCAUAGGAAACGUGUUUUGCUUCCGCUUAUGGGUUCUUGUGAGUCACCAACAUACUUUCCUAAGCAGUCGGCACGAGCACACGAAGCAACCAAGGCUCGCACAACAUGUGUUUUACCUGUGCCAGGAUAUCCAUGAAGGAGAAGACCUGUUGGUGGGGUUAUAGCAGGUCUCUGGAAAAACUCAGGGUACAACAAAGGUAACACUACAGCUUCCUUCAUGCAUUGAAUGACAUUUUGAAGGCCAGCAACAGAUUCCCAACCACCCAUAACUAACACUUCUUUUUUACUAUUAUUACUAUUACUAUGUGUGGCAGUGCCACCAAUAAAUAUGGGCUGAAUAUCCUCUUGAUCAUCUUCAUGAUUACUAUCAUCAUCCUUAUCAAUACAUUUGUGAUUUUCCUUUGAGUACUGUUUUCCCA